rnacentral:tRNA from 1 species
CAUUUGAUAGUUUAUUAAAAAUAAUGAUUUUGGGAAUCAUUGAUAGUGUAACCACUUCUUUUGA